AGAGUUUGAUCAUGGCUCAGAAUCAACGCUGGCGGCGUGCCUAACACAUGCAAGUCGAACGCGAAAGCCCGCAAGGGUGAGUAGAGUGGCGCACGGGUGAGUAACACGUGGACAACCUGCCUUCGAGUGGGGAAUAACCUUCCGAAAGGAGGGCUAAUACCGCAUAACACCUCGGGACACAAGUUCUGGGGUUGAAAAGAGCAAUUUGCUCGAAGAGGGGUCCGCGCCUGAUUAGCUAGUUGGUGAGGUAACGGCUCACCAAGGCUUCGAUCAGUAGCCGUCCUGAGAGGGAGCACGGCCACACUGGAACUGAGACACGGUCCAGACUCCUACGGGAGGCAGCAGUGGGGAAUUUUUGGCAUGGGCGAAAGCCUGACCAAGCAACGCCGCGUGGGUGAUGAAGUAUCUUGGUACGUAAAACCCUUUCGGCAGGGACGAACCUAAUGACGGUACCUGCGAAGAGCCC
rnacentral:rRNA from 1 species